AUUGAACGCUGGCGGCAUGCUUUACACAUGCAAGUCGAACGGCAGCGCGGGCUUCGGCCUGGCGGCGAGUGGCGAACGGGUGAGUAAUACAUCGGAACGUGCCCAGUAGUGGGGGAUAGCUCGGCGAAAGCCGGAUUAAUACCGCAUACGACCUGAGGGUGAAAGCGGGGGAUCUUCGGACCUCGCGCUAUUGGAGCGGCCGAUGGCAGAUUAGCUAGUUGGUGGGGUAAAGGCCUACCAAGGCGACGAUCUGUAGCUGGUCUGAGAGGACGACCAGCCACACUGGGACUGAGACACGGCCAAGACUCCUACGGGAGGCAGCAGUGGGGAAUUUUGGACAAUGGGCGAAAGCAUGAUCCAGCAAUGCCGCGUGUGUGAUGAAGGCCUUCGGGUUGUAAAGCACUUUUGGCGGGAACGAAAAGGACUGUGCCAAUACCACGGUUCGAUGACGGUACCCGCAGAAUAAGCACCGGCUAACUACGUG
rnacentral:rRNA from 1 species